UACGUAGGGGGCUAGCGUUGUCCGGAUUUAUUGGGCGUAAAGAGCGUGUAGGCGGCCAGGUAGGUCUGCUGUGAAAACUCGAGGCUCAACCUCGAGACGUCGGCGGAAACCAUCUGGCUAGAGUCCGGAAGAGGAGAGUGGAAUUCCUGGUGUAGCGGUGAAAUGCGCAGAUAUCAGGAAGAACACCCGUGGCGAAGGCGGUGGGCUGGGCCGGUACUGACGCUGAGGAGCGAAAGCGUGGGGAGCGAACAGG
rnacentral:rRNA from 1 species